AGCUUUCCGAAUCCGUGCUGAGAUUUCGUCAGACACCAAUCAAUUAGAGCUGUUCAGACUUUUAAUAUAAGUGAAGUU
rnacentral:pre_miRNA from 1 species